GGGAACGUAGCUCAGAGGUAGAGCAGUCGCUUGUUAAGCGACCGGUCGAAGGUUCGAUCCCUUCCAUUCCCU
rnacentral:tRNA from 1 species